rnacentral:rRNA from 1 species
AACGAACGCUGGCGGCAGGCCUAACACAUGCAAGUCGAUCGGUAACGCGGGGGCAACCCUGGCGACGAGAGGCGGACGGGUGAGGAACGCUUGGGAAUCUGCCUAUCAGCGGGGGACAACACGGGGAAACUCGUGCUAAUACCGCAUACGCUCUACGGAGGAAAGCCGGGGACCGCAAGGCCUGGCACUGAUAGAUGAGCCCAAGCCGGAUUAGCUAGUUGGCGGGGUAACGGCCCACCAAGGCGACGAUCCGUAGCUGGUCUGAGAGGACGAUCAGCCACACUGGGACUGAGACACGGCCCAGACUCCUACGGGAGGCAGCAGUGGGGAAUAUUGGACAAUGGGGGAAACCCUGAUCCAGCGACGCCGCGUGGGUGAAGAAGGCCUGCGGGUUGUAAAGCCCUUUCGGUAGGGACGAAAGCUCUCGACCUAACACGUCGGGAGGUUGACUUAACCUACAAAAGAAGCACCGGCUAACUCUGUGCCAGCCGCCGCGGUAAUAC